CCCUUAGAUGUUCUGGGCCGCACGCGCGCUACAAUGAUGAAUUCAACGAGUUUAUAACCUUGGUUGAAAAGCCUGGGUAAUCUUUUGAACUUUCGUCGUGAUGGGGCUAGACCCUUGCAAUUAUUGGUCUCCAACGAGGAAUUCCUAGUAAACGCAAGUCAUCAGCUUGCAUUGAUUACGUCCCUGCCCUUUGUACACACCGCCCGUCGCACCUACCGAUUGAAUGGUCCGGUGAAAUCUCGGGACGGCGGCUUGGUCGCUUGCGUCCGACUGCUGAAACUUGAUUAAACCAUAUCAUUUAGAGGAAGGUGAAGUCGUAACA
rnacentral:rRNA from 1 species